AACGAACGCUGGCGGCAGGCCUAACACAUGCAAGUCGAACGCCCCGCAAGGGGAGUGGCAGACGGGUGAGUAACACGUGGGAACGUGCCCAAAGGUACGGAACAACUCCGGGAAACUGGAGCUAAUACCGUAUGUGCCCGAAAGGGGAAAGAUUUAUCGCCUUUGGAUCGGCCCGCGUCUGAUUAGCUAGUUGGUGGGGUAAUGGCCUACCAAGGCGACGAUCAGUAGCUGGUCUGAGAGGAUGACCAGCCACACUGGGACUGCGACACGGCCCAGACUCCUACGGGAGGCAGCAGUGGGGAAUAUUGGACAAUGGGCGAAAGCCUGAACCAGCCAUGCCGCGUGAGUGAUGAAGGCCUUAGGGUUGUAAAGCUCUUUCGCCAGGGACGAUAAUGACGGUACCUGGAUAAGGAGCCCCGGCUAACUUCGUGCCAGCCGCCGCGGUAAAAC
rnacentral:rRNA from 1 species